rnacentral:rRNA from 1 species
UACGUAGGUGGCAAGCGUUGUCCGGAAUUAUUGGGCGUAAAGGGCUCGCAGGCGGUCUUCUAAGUCUGAUGUGAAAUCUUGCGGCUUAACCGUAAGCGGUCAUUGGAAACUGGAGGACUUGAGUACAGAAGAGGAGAGUGGAAUUCCACGUGUAGCGGUGAAAUGCGUAGAGAUGUGGAGGAACACCAGUGGCGAAGGCGGCUCACUGGCCCGGUACUGACGCUGAGGUGCGAAAGCGUGGGGAGCAAACAGG